rnacentral:lncRNA from 1 species
AGAACAUGAAGCUACUACACUCGAACCUCAUAAUAACUAAGUCGCAUCUGACACGAAAAUAAGUUCGUUAUAUCCGAAAAUUCGUUAUAA